rnacentral:rRNA from 1 species
GACAGCAGCUAGCUCUCUGCAACUCUCACAUGGUUGCCCACAGAAGCAGGGCUGUGCCCAGUCAGUACCUGGAUGGGAGACCACAUGGGAAAGCUAGGUUGCUGCUGGAA